UAGGGAAUCUUCGGCAAUGGACGAAAGUCUGACCGAGCAACGCCGCGUGAGUGAAGAAGGUUUUCGGAUCGUAAAACUCUGUUGGUAGAGAAGAACGUUGGUGAGAGUGGAAAGCUCAUCAAGUGACGGUAACUACCCAGAAAGGGACGGCUAACUACGUGCCAGCAGCCGCGGUAAUACGUAGGUCCCGAGCGUUGUCCGGAUUUAUUGGGCGUAAAGCGAGCGCAGGUGGUUUAUUAAGUCUGGUGUAAAAGGCAGUGGCUCAACCAUUGUAUGCAUUGGAAACUGGUAGACUUGAGUGCAGGAGAGGAGAGUGGAAUUCCAUGUGUAGCGGUGAAAUGCGUAGAUAUAUGGAGGAACACCGGUGGCGAAAGCGGCUCUCUGGCCUGUAGCUGACACUGAGGCUCGAAAGCGUGGGGAGCAAACAGGAUUAGAUACCCUGGUAGUCCACGCCGUAACGAUGAGUGCUAGAUGUAGGGAGCUAUAAGUUCUCUGUAUCGCAGCUAACGCAA
rnacentral:rRNA from 1 species